UCGUCCUACGGGGCGCAGCAGUGAGGAAUAUUGGUCAAUGGGCGAGAGCCUGAACCAGCCAAGUCGCGUGAGGGAGUACUGACCUAUGGGUUGUAAACCUCUUUUGUCGGGGAGCAAAAGCCGGACGUGUCCGUCUGUGAGAGUACCCGAAGAAAAAGCAUCGGCUAACUCCGUGCCAGCAGCCGCGGUAAUACGGAGGAUGCGAGCGUUAUACGGAUUUAUUGGGUUUAAAGGGUGCGCAGGCGGCUUUUU
rnacentral:rRNA from 1 species